AGAGUUGUAUCCUGGCUCAGAAGGAACGCUGGCAGCGUGCAUAACACAUGCAAGUCGAACGUGAAUACUCUUCGGGGUAUGAAAGUGGCGAACGGGUGAGUAACACGUAAGAAUCUACCUUUAGGACGGGGAUAACUUCUGGAAACGGAUGCUAAUACCCGAUAUGCUGUGGAGUGAAAGAAUUUCGCCUAAAGAUGAUCUUGCGUCUGAUUAGCUAGAUAGGGUGGUAACGGCACACUAUGGCGACGAUCAGUAGCUGGUCUGAGAGGAUGGACAGCCACAUUGGAACUGAGACACGGUCCAAACUCCUACGGGAGGCAGCAGUGGGGAAUUUUCCGCAAUGGGCGAAAGCCUGACGGAGCGACGCUGCGUGAAGGAUGACGGCCUGCGGGUUGUAAACUUCUUUUCUCGAAGAAGAAUAAAUGACGGUAUUCGAGGAAUAAGCAUCGGCUAACUCUGUGCCAGCAGCCGCGGUAAGACAGAGGAUGCAAGUGUUAUUCGGAUUGAUUGGGCGUAAAGCGUCUGUAGGCGGUUUGAAAAGUCUUUUGUGAAAUUCUUCGGCUCAACCGGGGGUCCGCAAAAGAAACUUUCAUACUUG
rnacentral:rRNA from 1 species